GCGGAUAUGGCGAAAUAGGUAGACGCGUUUGACUUAGGAUCAAGUGUUGAAGAACAUGCAGGUUCAAUUCCUGCUAUCCGCA
rnacentral:tRNA from 1 species